GGGACAACAGUUGGAAACGACUGCUAAUACCGCAUAAGCGCACAGCUUCGCAUGAAGCAGUGUGAAAAACUCCGGUGGUACAAGAUGGACCCGCGUCUGAUUAGCUGGUUGGUGAGGUAACGGCCCACCAAGGCGACGAUCAGUAGCCGGCCUGAGAGGGUGAACGGCCACAUUGGGACUGAGACACGGCCCAAACUCCUACGGGAGGCAGCAGUGGGGAAUAUUGCACAAUGGGGGAAACCCUGAUGCAGCAACGCCGCGUGAGUGAAGAAGUAUUUCGGUAUGUAAAGCUCUAUCAGCAGGAAAGAAAAUGACGGUACCUGACUAAGAAGCCCCGGCUAACUACGUGCCAGCAGCCGCGGUAAUACGUAGGGGGCAAGCGUUAUCCGGAUUUACUGGGUGUAAAGGGAGCGUAGACGGUUUUGCAAGUCUGAAGUGAAAGCCCGGGGCUUAACCCCGGGACUGCUUUGGAAACUGUAGGACUAGAGUGCAGGAGAGGUAAGUGGAAUUCCUAGUGUAGCGGUGAAAUGCGUAGAUAUUAGGAGGAACACCAGUGGCGAAGGCGGCUUACUGGACUGUAACUGACGUUGAGGCUCGAAAGCGUGGGGAGCAAACAGGAUUAGAUACCCUGGUAGUCCACGCCGUAAACGAUGAUUACUAGGUGUUGGUGGGUAUGACCCAUCGGUGCCGCAG
rnacentral:rRNA from 1 species